UCCCGUGCGUCGGCCAAGCCUAGAGGCCGCAAGGAGAACCUCCGCCCGGUGUUGGUACUCGCCAUCCGGAGCGCAUGGAGCUGGGCGUCCUCGUUAGUCCGUCACGCCGCAGGUCACCUCUAACCGCCGCCAUGUCGCCUCUUGGUGACCUGGGCUCCCGGCGCCCCUCCCUCCUCGCCUAGAUGCACCGCUCGCCGAUGACCUAAUCCACGGCGUCCGCAUUCCAUCACUGUGGAGCUCACCGCGGAAGGCAAGGAGGAGGAUAUGGUGGUAGCCUUGCCACCGGGAUUAAUUGAGGAUAUCCAAUCUAUUGAUUCCGAACAAAUUACUCAUCAGCUUUCGAUGGAUUGAGCUCCCUCUCAAAUUGAUUGCCGGUAUGGGGAAAUACAAAGGAUUUCGGGCCCUUGGGGAUCGCCGGCAACGAGCGCCCAACUGUGUUGUAAAAGGGAAAGUCGAUGAGGCAAUUGUUGGUGGAGGUGGACAUCACGUUCACAGCAAGCAGCAAGUAACCAGCCCCACUUCAACCCUCCACGUCCAGGUAUUCUUGUUUCAACUUCAUGUCAUAGUUUUUUUAAUGUUUUGUGCUAAGCUGUACUCUAGAAAAUAUACUUUAUCUGGGGCAAACAACAUAGCAAAUGACGCCAUAGACAAAUUCUUCUGGAACGAAAUUCUACAAGUACUUUUUUGGACAAGCUGUAGUUUUGUUAUGUAAUGUAUCUAUUGAGAUUUACAAAAAAUAUUUGAUGGAUAGAUUCUAUUUUAAGGUGUCUAUGGAAAUAAAAAAGGUCCUUAUAUUCUGUAACUUUUUGCUCACAAAGGGUCCAUCUGAUAUGUAAUUUGACACGUAUAUAUGACGUACCUUCAUAUAUAUACAGAUCAGAGUAACAAAAGUAUCAAAUUCAGAAAUGCGGAGGAUGCUCUAUGAUUAGGAAGUGAACCCUUCGUAUCUGAAGCUAAUAUUUCUUUAUUUUCUUACAUAGUGUUGCUGCCCACAUUACAAACCUAGAAUGUAUUUCCAAUGUUGAUGCUCCAGUAUGGCGGCCAGACGCAACAUUCCCUAUUUGUUCUUUCUACCGAGGAUAGGGAUGAAGACAUUGUUGAUCGUCGGUUCACAUACACUCCAAAAUUCUUGAGGAUCCCGUGGAAGUCAAUUGCCAUAGCGUUGUUCCUUCUCUUCCUGGGGAUCUCUCUUGUGUUCUUCCUGUAAUAUCAUGUGUGCAAGGGAUGGGAUGGACGUUUUGGAGAACCUGCAAGACCGUGCAUGUCCCUUGUUGUGAACAAGCUUAGAGAAUUAUUCAGGAUAAUGGCUAGCAAAUCUUUUGGUAACCUAAAGCAUAAUUGUUUUCCAUUCCUUUAUUUCCUGAUUCAUUUUGUUUGGACCAUGUGAUUUCUAGAGACCGGUCUUUCUUCUCUAAAUACAUGUAUAAAUACGCAUGUUUAUUUUAAGGAGAUCAGAUUCAUCUUAUCACUGAAUGUAAGCGAGCUUUUAUGAUUGAAUAUUAUUCUGUGAAUACAGGAAUAUCUUUUUCAUAUAACAUUCGAGAUCCAAAAAUAUUCAAGGAAAGUGCACGAGCAAUUUUUGAAUCAGAAAAUUAAUUCAAUAAAGUAAGCAUAAUCCUUUCCACUAAGCAUUCUUGUAAUUCUAUUAGACACAUUGGGGCGAGUACACAUCUCAAAAGAAUAUAAGAGUCAGAUGAUGGCGCUCGGUGGCGGAGGUGAGCUUGGAUGGGAGAUCUUUGGCAGGCAGUAUACUUGACGGAGCAAAUAAAAAAUAUGGAGUCCUUUCUCACAUUCAAACAUAUACCUCCUACGCCAUGUUGCAAAGCAGGAGAAAUGCAAGUAUGGAAAUGUUGCAAGGAUAUUGCAAUUCCAUCUACCAUGAGUCAAUAUUUUCUAGCAGGAUGAACUUUAUCCUACACGGCUUGAUCUUAUUAUAAUUUGGAAUUUACUAAUAGACAAAUAAUUCUAUGUGGUCCUUCUUUUGCACACUAUCCAUUGAUGUAUCUAAAUUAAAUUAUUUAUUUA